AGGACAGGAAGGGCAGGGGGGGAGGGAGAAAGGGAUGCUCCAGAAAUUAAAAGACCUUGGGGGAGGGGGCACGGAGACAGCAGGCAGAUCAUCAACCACUUAUUUCAAAAAAAAAAAAAAAAAAAAAAAAAACAGCCGGCAAGACCCCCAUACACAAUUGGGGACCGUACCCCGCCGGUUUCUCAAAUGCCUUCUCCAGUCUUAGGAGUGGACACAAAGUAACUCCAUAGAUGCGAAUCCCCCCCAAAAAAAAUUGCUUCCAACUGCGAUAGCUUCGCUCUGCGCAAUUCACCACCCCUGUGUAUGUUUCUGUUUCUUUUUAAACCAAGACUUCCUUGUGAUCUCUUUAGAAAAAAAAAAGUGUUGGGGGAGGAAAGGGGAGUAGCCACUUUCCCCCCUUAUUCACUCAGAUCUUCUUUCUUAAUUUUUCUCCUCCCCCCGCCUCCUAUCCCCCACCUCGCCCUCCAGGGUUGUUGCGAGUCCAGGUAACACAACCCCAUCUCUGGGACUGUGUAUAUGUGCUGUAUUGUGUUGCGCGUGUAUGUUGCCGUUGUUCCCUCCCUCUCUCCCAGGCCCCCGGUGGGGCUGACGGGUCUCCCCUGGUCUCUCUCUUCCCUCCUCCGUCGUUGCCGCCGGGAAAAGCGGACAGAUCGCACUCUGGGCAAGUUAUAGUAGGUCAGUUUCGCAAUGAUCUACACUAACACACUUGCACGCACACACAUACACACGAAAACAUACAUACACACUAGCAACGCACUUUAUUUCAGACACGCGCGCGCGCACAGCAGAACUCCCGGCCCGGGCGGUGCCCCUCCCCCUCCUCCCUUCCCGCAACCUUUUAAAAAAAAAAGCUUAUACUUAAAAAAAUCUUUUGGCGCCAUAUUAAUGACGUACUUAAAAUUUGCCAUUUCUUCCUGCGUCAAAAAUACGUUUCUUUGCACAGCUCAGACUGGAAGGGACACACGCCUUGCACUGGGGCUGGGCUGGAUUCCCCCCUCCCGCCCGGUGGGCGGGCGCGGGAAGCCCCCGGACCCGAAGCCCCGCGCUUUAAAAAAGGCCGCUGAAAUCAACAAGAGGCGGCGGCCACCAGAGAGCGUAGAGGGGGCGCUUCUUCCCAAGCCCCCCACAUCAGCUUCUUGUGGGAGGGGUGAGAGAAGUUGGGGGGGCCACCUGAAGAAAAGAUGAGAGGACGCCCGGAUUGGAGCCACCUUCUCUGCUUCCAGACUUGACCUUGUAGCGCACAAACAAUGCACUUCAGUCGCUGGCUGUUUUCUAGAAGAGCUCCAAGGGCUGUUCGCCUGCCAGUCUGUUUGCGGAUGAAAGCCGUGGCGCUUCCAGUAUCUGCCUAGCCACACCCACCCUUGCCGGCCUGCGAGUCUCCCUUCCCUCUAGGAAGAACAGUUAUUAAUAGGGGCCGCUGGGCCCCACAACCUGUUCCUGUAUCCCACUCCCACCCCUUCCAUCCCAGCUCCCACCCACUGUGUGGAGAUGGGAAUGCUUCCCCGCCCCCAACAUGAAGGCCCUGAGCCUCAUCGGACACCAAAACACAACUUUCUUUGCUUCCCCUUUUGGCUACACCUCAAGAUGAUCCACUAAUUGGAAAAGAACUCCCUUCUCUUGGAGGACAUGAGGAAAGAUUUGUGAACUGCGAUGGGAAGGGCAGUCUCUUAGACGGAAAGUUGUUUAUGGUCUUAAAUCUCCUUCCUGAGACUAAAUGUUCAAUUUACAUAAGAUGACAUUUAUGUGACAAUUAGGAAGAUUCUCUGAUGGAAUGUUGUGAACACAUUUGCUUAUAGAAGAAAUAAAUCUAAUGAUAAACAAACUGAUAAUAACAGCACAGAUCCUCUAAUAGUGCAAGUUGUUGACACAACAAAGGCCAAAAUGACUGAUGCUUAAAAAAAAAAAAAAAAAAAAAAAAGCAAAUUUUGCAAUUAAAAAAAACAUUAAAGGCAAUGUUCGACUUCAUUCACAAAAACUACAACAAGCUUGUGUUUGUUCUAUAUCUAAAGAAAUGAGGGAAAAGCAGGGAUAACCUUGGAAAGGAAAAUCAAAAAGAUUGUCAAAGAUGAGGGUCUUUGGUGUGCCUGAAGAAGUAACUUGAUUUCCAUUUGCUCAAGAUCAGCAAGUAAAAAGGGAAUAUAGCUAAUUUAUUUAAAAUUUAACUGUCCUAGUAACUCCCUGUGUAUAUCCUCAGGGCCUCAGUUUCCCCAUUAAAGGACUGGACAAGGUGGUCUUGAAGGUCAUCAGUCUGCUUUACAAUGGAAAAGUACCUUUUUUUUUUUUUUAAUAACUUUUUAUUGACAUAAUCCAUGCCAGGGUAAUUUUUUACAACAUUAUCCCUUGCACUCACUUCUGUUCCGAUUUUCCCUUCCCUCCCUUCACCCCCUCCCCCAGAUGGCAAGCAGUCCUUUACAUGUUAAAUAGGUUACAGUAUAUCCUAGAUACAAUAGAUGUGUGCAGAACCAAACAGUUCUCUUUGUUGCACAGGGAGAAUUGGAUUCAGAAGGUAUAAAUAAUCCGGGAAGAAAAACAAAAAUGCAAGCAGUUUAUAUUCAUUUCCCAGUGUUCUUUCUUUGGGUGUAGCUGCUUCUGUCCAUCCUUGAUCAAUUGAAACUGAAUUAGCUCUCUUUAUCAAAGAGAUCCACUUCCAUCAGAAUACAUCCUCAAACAGUAUCGUUGUUGAGGUAUAUAAUGAUCUCCUGGUUCUGCUCAUUUCACUUAGCAUCAGUUCAUGUAAGUCUCGCCAGUCCUCUCUGUAUUCAUCCUGCUGGUCAUUCCUUACAGAACAAUAAUAUUCCAUAACAUUCAUAUACCAUGAUUUAUCCAACCAUUCUCCAAUUGACAGCCUCCAUUCAUUUUCCAGCUUCUAGCCACUACAAACAGGGCUGCCACAAAUAUUUUGGCACAUACAGGUCCCUUUCCCUUCUUUAGUAUCUUUUUGGGGUAUAAACCCAGUAGAAACACUGCUGGAUCAAAGGGUAUGCACAGUUUGAUAACUUUUUGAGCAUAGUUCCAAAUUGCUCUCCAGAAUGGCUGGAUGUAUUCACAGUUCCACCAACAAUGUUUCAGUAACCCAGUUUUCCCACAUCCCCUCCAACAUUCAGCAUUAUCUUUCCCUAUCAUUCUAGCCAAUCUGACAGGUGUAUAGUGGUAUCUCAGUGUUGUCUUAAUUUGCAUUUCUCUGAUUAAUAAUGAUUUGGAGCAUAUUUUCAUAUGUCUAUAAAUAGUUUCAAUUUCUUCAUCUGAGAAUUGUCUGUUCCUAUCCUUUGACCAUUUAUCAAUUGGAGAAUGGCUUGAUUUCUUAUAAAUUAGAGUCAAUUCUCUAUAUAUUUUGGAAAUGAGGCCUUUAUCAGAAUCUUUGACUGUAAAAAUGUUUUCCCAGUUUAUUGUUUCCCUUCUAAUCUUGUCUGCAUUUGUUUUGUUUGUACAAAAACUUUUCAAUUUGAUAUAAUCAAAAUUUUCUAUUUUGUGGUCAAUAGUGAUCUCUAGUUCUUCUUUGGUCAUAAAUUCCUCCCUCUUCCACAGGUCUGAGAGGUAAACUAUCCUAUGCUCUUCCAAUUUAUUUAUAAUCUCAUUCUUUAUGCCUAGGUCAUGAACCCAUUUUGACCUUAUCUUGGUAUACGUUGUUAAGUUUGGGUCAAUGCCUAGUUUCUGCCAUACUAAUUUCCAAUUUUCCCAGCAAUUUUUGUCAAUGCAUUCUUAUCCCCAAAACUGGGAUCUUUGGGUUUGUCAAACACUUUAUUAUUAAAGUUAUUGGCUGGAAAACACCUUCUUAAACUCUUGUACUCUAUAUAGGUUAGUUAGGUUAGGAUGAGUUGUUAGUGUUGUCUGACCUGUGUAGAACUAUGUUCUUGUUGUGGAGCUGUCUCAAAGCAUCAUCCUCUGUCUUAAGUAUAAACUUUAUCCAGAGACCCAUCCCAUUAUGCUCUAAAUCUGUUUUGUUUUUCAAUUAGCUUGGAGUUAGGAGACCUAGAUUACAGAAUCAGCUUUUCAGAAUUGAAGAGACAUAGAGUAUCCAGUCAACCCAUUGUGGUUGGAAAGAUAACUGGAUUUUGAGUCAUGAGACCUGAGUUCAAAAUCCUGACCCUGAUUACUAUUCUGGGCUUCUAUUUUGUUAUCUGUAAAUGUGGGAAGAUAAUCUCUAAAAUCCUUUAUAGCUUUGUAUAAUGAUUUGAUAAUCCCAACCUGAGUAAGAUUGCUCCAACAACUUCCUUGACAAUUCAGUAAUUCAGUCUGCUUGAAAAACUCCAAUGAUUAAAAAAAUGUAUUAAAUCCUAAGGUAUUCAUUCAA